CAGGUGGCAAGUAUUUGGAACAUUGUCCUACAAAGAUUGUUGGAUUCAAACUCAGUUUCCAGGAGUAUGUGAAAAGAUCUCUUCUAUCAAGGCUCAGGAACAGUUUCUCUCGAGAGAAUGAUGUCAUCAAAAUGUUUGUAUAGGAGUUUUCUACAAUCUUGCUACUCCCACCCUUCCAAAAGAACACCAAUUUUGAUAAUUACACAUGGAUAAGAGGGCCAGUGUGGAAGUCCAGGAGUCUAGCAGAAAAAUUCCAGCACACUGCUAGAGCAAAAACUCUUGAGAUUGAACUCACUGAAGAAGGAGAAAAUGAAAGAGCAUGAGUGGAUGCCUGGCUUCCCAGAUGUGCCGUAUGCUGCCGAAGAGGAGCAUUUCCUUCUUACCCCAUGCAGAAUACUGAGUAAAGGAUAUGACUCAUUGGCCAGCAAAUAACUGCAAUAGCAGCUAGGGCUGGAAAAGCAUGGAACAGUAUCAAAGAGAUGUAGAUCCUACUAACUGCUUCAUGAACUCAUCAGUAAGUCUGCCCACAAACUGCUGGGGAUGACUCAUCAAUGGACACCCCCACAUUGGUCCACAGGUACCCCAACACAUACCUCAAACCCAGAGACAUUUUCCUGUGUGCACCUUUGCAGGUGGUGUCUGUGAGCCUUUGUAGAAGGUUAGUGGGCAUACGCAGUAAGAAGGCCUGACAGUGGGAUUAGGAAAAAGCACACAAACUUUGAGUUUUCUACAUUGACCUACAGAAGGCAAAUGGGAGGUUGUCAGUACCCAGCCUGGCUUUGCAGAAUUUAGAGAAGUAUUAAAAUCUCGAGUCCCCCCUACCGCCAACAGGAAACAGGAAUUGUGGGACAGGUGUACCCAUAGAAAAGGUCAGAGAAAGCCUCAAAAUCCCUAACAGGGCAAAUGGAAGGCAUUUGUCUCCCAAAGCCAGUCAGUAAAAACUGAAGUAGGUGAUGCUUCUUUAGAUGUGAAGACGGUAAUGCAAGGAUUCAAAAAACAAGAAAAAUCAAAGAAACAUGACUCCAACAAAGGAAAACAAUUGUCCAGAAACCAGCUCCAAAUAAAUGGAGAUCUGUGAUUUGCUCGAUACAGAAUUCAGAAUAGUUGUUUUAAGGGAGGUCAUUAAAGUACAAGAAAACAUACAAAGUUAAGUUGAUGAAAUCAGGCAAACAAUACAAUAACACAAUAACUUUAAUAGAAAUCAUUAAGAAAAACAAAACAAAUUCUGGAGCUGCAGAAUACAAUUAAUAAAAUGAAAAUAAAAAUCAGUAGAGACCAUCAACAGAAGACUGGUUCAAGCAGAAGAAAGAAUCUGUGAAAUAGAAGACAGAUCAUUUGAAAUUAUCCAGUCAGAUGGGAGAACAAAGUAAAAGAAUG